CGCGCAGGCGGCCCGGCAAGUCGGGUGUGAAAUCCCGGGGCUCAACCCCGGGACUGCAUUCGAUACUGCCGGGCUAGAGGUAGGUAGGGGAGAUCGGAAUUCCUGGUGUAGCGGUGAAAUGCGCAGAUAUCAGGAGGAACACCGGUGGCGAAGGCGGAUCUCUGGGCCUUACCUGACGCUCAGGCGCGAAAGCUAGGGGAGCGAACA
rnacentral:rRNA from 1 species